GACGAACGCUGGCGGCGUGCUUAACACAUGCAAGUCGAACGAAGUGGCGAACGGGUGAGUAACGCGUAAUCAACCUGCCCUUCAGAGGGGGACAACAGUUGGAAACGACUGCUAAUACCGCAUACUGAAGGAGGGGAUUGCGUCUGAUUAGCUAGUUGGAGGGGUAACGGCCCACCAAGGCGAUGAUCAGUAGCCGGUCUGGUAGGGUGGACGGCCAAAUUGGGACUGGGGCACGGGCCAGACUCCUACGGGAGGCAGUAGUGGGGAAUCUUCCGCAAAGGACGGAAAUCUGACGGAGCAACGCCGCUGGAGUGGUAGCGGCCUUCGGGUUGUAAAGCUCUGUUAAUCGGGACGCGGUACCGAAAUAGAAAGCCACGGCUAACUACGUGCCAGCCGCCGCGGUAAUUC
rnacentral:rRNA from 1 species